CGUAAGAGAGACCCUCAUGAUCAUGACCCCCACUUCGAACUAUGGUUCGUAGGCCAUGUUUUCGGGCACAUUUGAGGACCGAUUGAAUUUGUGAUACGUGAAAUGGCGUGACAAUGACUUGAGGUCUCCGGUACUCGGGCGAUGCGUACAGAAGAUUUUGUUUUAAAUUAUUCAAUAUCGAUAUAUAUGAAGAGUUGCUUUGGGUAAAAAUUACUUUAGAAAUGAAGGUGUUCUCAGAGUGUAGAGAGAGGCAUUGAAGAAACUUCUGAUUAGUGUCGUGAUGAACAUGAUCAUCAGCUAAAGCUAUCCCAUGAAGAAAUGAUAACACAAGAACUAAAGUAGUAGUAGAAAUAUUAAAUGGGAGAAUUGAUGUAGUGCUUUUAGUUUGGGGCUUCAUUUUGGUAGAUGUCUGAUGAUGUGUGAGUAGCCAAAUGAAUUCUAUCCCUUAAAUAUAUAUCCUUUCAAUCCAACAGCUCUCCUUGACCCAAUAAUUUUAAUAGUGUGGUAUGCGGUGUAUGAUUGUUGACAAAUAUUGUAUGUUAAUAGUUUUAUAUUCUAAUCAUGAUUGAUUAUAUAUUAUGAUAUAUUACAUCAAUGCACGAACAAUUUUGCGACUGGCUGCAUGUAUAUGUUCGGACAUAGAGUGGAAUAUUUGACGGUCCUAUUGGGUGGGCUUCUUAUAUUUAUUGUGAAAUGCAGUAUGACACCUGAAACAGUCUAAAUAAAUUAAUUGUUUAAAAAAAUAUAAAGUAACAUUGCGAUUUCAUUCGGUACUUAUGUUGGGGGAGAAUAAUGCAAAAAGAUUGUUCAAAUAAUAUUUAACUUCAUCAACCCUUUCGACCGACGGUGAAAGAUCUUAACAGAAGCAGCCUUGUAAAUAGGAGAGCAUAUCGAUGACUAAAUCAGCCAGCUGUCGUUAACAACAAAUUAUCCGUUAUUCAUCUUAACACCGUUGAUACUGUUCCCCGUUUAAGCAUAAUUCCCGUCUUCUGACUAAUUUACCCUUCCCGUGAGAGCUGAUGAGGUGACACGAUGCCGCAGUGGAACCAAACCACUGUAGUCCCUACAGCCUGGCCGUUUUGAUCAUUAUCAAAAUGCAAAUGGGCAAGACAAAAAUGUUACACUAAAGAUGCAUUUAUUACUAUAAAAUUCCAGCCGCGAAUCCAUACAAAGCAGAAAUUACCAUUUAACAAAUGCGAUCAAGCAGUAGGUAGUUGAUACAUAAUCCACGAAGGUUUAUUAAAAGGGAGACUUUGUAUGCGAUCAAGCAGUAGUAGUAGUAGUUGAUACAUAAUCACUGAAGGUUUAUUGAAAGGGAAACUUUAUACUAACAACGCCAUCGAUCACGUUAUAUUAUUUUUUCAACGUCUCUAUUGAUUAAUUAAUGAUUUCUCUUCCUACUGCCCUGGCGAACGCGGGAUGGGAUGCUUUGUUCGUUUCUAAAGAAAUUAUCAGGAUCCGCCUUAGUUUUGACAUCAACCAAUCUUUUGAAAUUGUUCUUGAAGUAUUUGUUUCCCCAAACGCCGGCUUCUUCGACGCUUGUGUAAUUGUCACCAAAGUUAUUUCUUCCGAUUUCCAGAUCCUUGCAAUUGAAAUAUGUAGCUCGGGGAUUUUUGGUAACAUAGGGAGCCAUGUAAUCGUACAGCUUUCUGUCCAACUCAAUCACCCUUUGGGAUUCUUCAUCAUCAUACCAUUCCGCAUAAUACAUGAGGUGGAAUUUGUUGCUCCUGUGCGGGAAUGCGGUUGCCGUCUCCGAGAUCUCGUUGAAUCUUCCGCCAUAAGGAAAUGAAAUCACGUAAAUGUUGUGCCCUCCUUCUUCAUACAGAACCUCAUACAUCCCUUCCAAGGCUUCGACAGGAAUAGGUUCCCUCACGUAGUCAGAUUUUGCUUUCAUGUAGUAUUUGGCAUAACUAAGCCUGUCAAGCAAUAACUCCAAAUUCAGAUUCUCUUUUGCGUUGAAUGCACGAUGGUAGACGGUUGAUUCAACCCAGCUCAUUUCUUGGCAAUCUUCUUUCCUCACACCAAGCUCAGGGAACCUCUCCUGCAUCAGCGGAAGCAGCCUAUCUACUCCACCCAGAUACUCGGCCGAGAAUAUGGCCACCAUCGUUCUCUUUCCUUCCACUGAUUUAAGCCCAGCACUGAUUACUAAUUCUUCCGGAAGCUUAUACGCAAUCUGCUGCCAUUUGUGAUGGAUCUGUGUUGCAUUCUGUUCCAAGGUUCUUACAACUGUGAAUACAGUCACAGUUGACGGGACAUCCACUAGGUUCACUUUCCAAGCGACAAGGAUUCCGAAGCUAGCUACCCCACCUCCUCGAAUGGCCCAAAAAAGAUCUUCUCCCAUUGAUUUUCUAUCAAGAAUCCUGCCAUUAACGUCCAUCAAGUGAGCAUCAAUUACUUGAUCAGCAGCAAGACCGUAUUUACGCAUUAAGUAGCCAAACCCUCCACCACUUAAAUGUCCACCAACCCCUACAGUGGGGCAAACUCCUGCCGGAAAGGCAAGAAGGUUGUUACUUUCCUCAGAAACUUUGUAAUAUAGUUCCCCAAGGGUGGCACCAGCUCCAACCCAUGCUGUCUUCUCUUCUGCAUCGACGUCGAUUUGAUUAAAGUUUAUCAAAUCAAUCAUCACAAAUGGAACCUCAGAAACGUAAGAGAGACCCUCAUGAUCAUGACCCCCACUUCGAACUAUGGUUCGUAGGCCAUGUUUUCGGGCACAUUUGAGGACCGAUUGAAUUUGUGAUACGUGAAAUGGCGUGACAAUGACUUGAGGUCUCCGGUACUCGGGCGAUGCGUACAGAAGAUUUUGUUUUAAAUUAUUCAAUAUCGAUAUAUAUGAAGAGUUGCUUUGGGUAAAAAUUACUUUAGAAAUGAAGGUGUUCUCAGAGUGUAGAGAGAGGCAUUGAAGAAACUUCUGAUUAGUGUCAUGAUGAACAUGAUCAUCAGCUAAAGCUAUCCCAUGAAGAAAUGAUAACACAAGAACUAAAGUAGUAGUAGAA
rnacentral:lncRNA from 1 species